rnacentral:lncRNA from 1 species
UUAAUUUCAUGUAGGUUCCUCAUUCCUUAAUCUGUGUAUUACAUUUCUCUACAAUUACAACAUAUUUUAUAUACUUUGCAACGUAAAGCUCCUGGAUGCAGUCAUCUGUGAAGCCGGCAGGGGGAGCAGAAGGAAAUGGGUCACACUCCUGACCCUCCCUGCACACCAGCACGUUCCCAAAAGCAGAGUUCCCUGGCUCUGCACCUUCUCUGGGGACAGCUUUAUUAUUGGUGAGUUUUGUGCUUAAUUAUUGAGAGUUUCUGUUUUAGGUGUGCUGGUCGAGGUGCAGCUAAUGAGUACAGUGCAGGAGUGCAAAUAAGCUUCCAAAACAUAGUAUCACCUGAGAGAUAACUGAGUCCAUCCCUGUAGUACCAUCUGAGUUCCAGCUUCCUGGAGAAAACCUCAGAAUCAUAAAAUUUUUCAUGUGUUCUGUGGUGUGGGUCUUCUGUGUCACUGCAUGUUCAGCUACAUCUGUGUGGUGCCACUUACUUACACUUAAUGAGAUGAGAUUCCUGCUGCUUGUGUCAGGUCAAUGGUGAUCUCUGAAGCUACUUCUGUUUUCUGCUUUAAUAUGUAAAGAGCAUGUCAGUCAUCCCCCACAUUCCUACAACAAUGAAAGCCUGGAAAAUUGA